UUUUAUAAUCACGUCACGGCCACAAACGUGACUAAAACAUUGUCGGAAAGUCUAUAAAUACUGCUGUAUGUGCACAGGCAGUUCAGAUUAAACUGGAAGGAAAACAACAAUGAGGCUUUCAGCGAUAUUGGUCGGUCUUCUGUGCUGUUCUGGAACAUUUGGUGCAACAUUCUAUCGAUGUUACUGGAUUAAUUCACCUACUGUAGACUGUGACAGAUUUUCUCCCGAGCCAACUUGCGGAACUAAUCUAGUCACUUACAAGAAUAAAUGUGAGUUCAGCAAAGCUCACUUGUGUCGACAACACCAUUGACUUGAGACAUACCGGAGCCUGUACAUCUGCUGAUGGUACAACUCCGGCACCUGUGAAUGCUGCUGGGUCCGAGAUCGUGUUUGACUUCAUGUGCACAAGUCUUAGCCACCUGUCCUGUCCAGCAGGAGGAGAAAAAACUUGCACAUCUAACGGAAGGUCGUUUGAAAACUAUUGCGAGUACGAAAAAUACAAAUGCACACACCGUGAUGUCCAUGUUGUAGACUGUACUGUUUGAUGUUUCCGUCUGAUUUGUUUGUUAAUAUUUGUACUUUUUAUUUAUUAUAGAAGUAAAAUACAGAAAAAAUA
rnacentral:lncRNA from 1 species